GACGAACGCUGGCGGCGUGCUUAACACAUGCAAGUCGAACGGAAAGGCCCUGCUUUUGUUGGGUGCUCGAGUGGCGAACGGGUGAGUAACACGUGAGUAACCUGCCCUUGACUUUGGGAUAACUUCAGGAAACUGGGGCUAAUACCGGAUAGGAGCUCCUGCUGCAUGUUGGGGGUUGGAAAGUUUCGGCGGUUGGGUAUGGACUCGCGGCUUAUCAGCUUGUUGGUGGGGUAGUGGCUUACCAAGGCUUUGACGGGUAGCCGGCCUGAGAGGGUGACCGGCAAAAUUGGGACGGAGAUACGGCCAAGCCUCCUACGGGAGGCAGCAGUGGGGAAUAUUGAAAAAUGGGCGGAAGCCUGAUGCAGCAACGCGGCGUGCGGGAUGACGGCCUUCGGGUUGUAACCCGCUUUCGCAUGUGACGAAGCGUGAGUGACGGUAAUGGGUAAAGAAGCACCGGCUAACUACGUG
rnacentral:rRNA from 1 species